rnacentral:tRNA from 1 species
CGCGGGGUGGAGCAGCCUGGUAGCUCGCAAGGCUCAUAACCUUGAGGUCGCACGUUCGAAUCGUGCCCCCGCUACCA